rnacentral:lncRNA from 1 species
UACACAGCUGCCUUUUGUGUGUCCCCAUCAGAACUGAUCUCCAAACCUGCCUGCCUGCAUGCCUGCCUGCCAGGCAUUCCCCCCUGGAAGAUGAUGGUACCUUCAUGCUGGCGCUUACCUGGAGAAGCUCAUUCUAAUUUUCUGCUUAUCUGCCAGAGCAGUGUGAUCAGACACGCCAUUUGAAAGGUGUAUUGGGGUUUCUAAGCCUCAUGAAACAAGGCAGAGGUUAACCCAGGCAACCAUCAGGCUGUAGCUGAAAAUUGGCCUGCCUUCAGAGGAUAAAAGAGCAGUGGGAGGGUCUCUUUAGGCAAACACAGCUAUCUAAUGAAUUGCUAAAAAAAACAACAAAAAACCAAAAAAACCUUGAUCUUCAGGUUGCAGAAAGAGGGAGCUUUCUGAACUUGGAGAAGGUUGGUAAACAGGAGCUUGACAGCCAAACUUUGGUGCCCCCCACAUCGAGGGAAUGGGGACUGUAUUGCAUGGAUGCAUUCCAGUUGGAGGAGGGCUUUGCUAUGCAGAGAUGCUCUCAGGUCAGGUGAAGACAGCAGGAUUCUUACAAACCAGAUAGAGAGACAAGAAAUCACAGCAUUAGAAGAAGGAGGCAGCAAGGGUUCUCCCUCCUGCAACAAUUCUUCAUCCACAGCAGCUUCUGGAAGUGCUGUUUUGUGUCUCCCCUCAGCUUCCCAGAACUGUCCUACAGUUCAGACUGUCCUUAGCACAACAGGGUUGAGGAGCCUGUCCCAAGAAAGGAUUCCUGAUGGGAUAUUUCCUGUUCACAUUACUGUCUUUCUCAUGAGAAUCCACUGUCAGACCCCAUGCCUCCUUGUGGUCUCUGACAGAUGGUGGCAUCCAACUGGACCCUGACUGAGCAAAGUAAGGAGGAGUCAGUGACAUGAGACGAUACUGGUGGUGCUGGAGUGUGAGGCACAAUCCACAGCCAACACUCAUGUUACAAGAACUGCAACAAGAAAAAAAAAUACUUGUGUGAUUGCUUGUGGCCACUCCAAAUAAAAACAAUCAAGAAUGCA